AAUAUUGGCCUGAAGAUCAGUUCAGGCCAGGACUCUUAUCACACAUGUGAAGUUUGGGGAAGAUCGGACAUCUUAUGCCUGAGUUAUAACAUCUUUUAUUCGCAUGGCGAGACAUCGAACUUCGUCGCGGCGCCAUGAACAAGCCUUUUAACGAAAACUCAAGAUCUUCACAACUGAACAUCGCACAGGCCUUUAGAUUAGACUGACCACAAAAAAGACAUUGAUGUCAUAAAAUUUCUAGGAGUAGUUCGUCGCAGCGUAAAAUAUGUCACUUCCUGUUGCCAAUAGGUGGCGCUAUGACUAUAACUGAAUAUGGGCAUGUCAAUCUGUUCAGGUUCGGAGUCUCAUCAAACAUGUGAAGUUUGGGGCAGAUUGGUCAUUGUAUGUGUGAGUUAUAGCAACUUCAUUUUUCAUGGCGAAUCAUCGAAAUUCGCCAGGCCGCCACGGACACGCCCUUCAACGAAAAGUCAGGAUCUUCGCAAUUUAACAUCGCAAAGGCCUUUAGAUUAGGCAUACCAAAUUUGGUGUUGAUUUGAAGAACUCUCUAGGAGGAGUUCGUUAAAAUACAACACAUGGAAAUGACCAAAAUUACACAAAAUAUGCUCAUAAUAUUAAAAAUAACUGACUUCCUGUUGGGUUUAGAAUUUCGCUCCAAGAGUCUUUUUUGUAGGUAUUGGUGUGUUACAUAUGUGUGCCAAUUUUCGUGCAUGUACGUGAAACAUAGCUGGAAGGCUGUUGAUUUUCUUGGUAUAGGUGGCGCUGUCGAGCCAUUUUGCCACACCCUCUUCUGAAUCCUAUAUCAGACGAAAAUUUUCACCAGGUUUGACGCGUGUGCAAAGUUUCAUGACUUUUUGAGCAUGUUAAAGCCCUCAAAAAUGCGAUUCAUUCGGGAGAAGAAGAAGAAGAAGAAGAAGAAU